UCCUGCUGAAAUUUGUUUUGCAAUGACUGUUAUUUAUGCAUAUGCAAUCCUUUUACGGCGAUUUGGUAUGAUGAGAAUCAGAUAGCGCAGAAGGAAUUUGGGAUGAUUUGAUUGCUGCGCUGAUUUCCUUCAGAAGCUAGGCACAGAGUUGGUGGUACUUUUUCAAGAGAGCAGCUGCUGGAACUCUGCAGCACGAGAACUCUAAGCACAUGGGUCUAACUGGUGCUAUGAUUAAGGAAGAAAUGUGGAGAUGACACUGAAUCUGCAAGAAAUGGAGAUUCUGGAAAUUUUAUUUGUGGAAAAGGCUAGUUUCCCCCGUUGCUUCUGGAGAAUGUUGUAACAGGAUCAAAUUCAGUGAAUUCUGUAUCUAACAUCAUCAUCAUCUAUGACUUUUUUUUUUCAUUUUUCUUAUAUUUCUGCAGAUAAUUCCUUCAACUCAUUCUACCUCAUCAAUGUAUAUCCUUUGCAUUCAGACUCAUCACAGAGAGGACACAUGCUUCACCGACGGAAGCUGGCCUCACGGAUGCCAUGCUGCAGAAUGACCAAAAUGCCCUCUUCGCGGUCUAUGACAGCAGCCAUGACGACAUACGCAUUCAAAAAAACAUCACCAAAUAUAGCCACAGUAAAUGCAGUUUUCCUCUCUAGAGUUUGAGAAUCUUAUGCCAACUGCCAUAAAUCAGUGUGAUCUGUAAAACUAAAUUUAAUUAAUGCACACUCACACUCUCACUCAUAGAUUCUGCAGAUGUGGAAAUCAUUAAUGUCAUUAGUAGUCAUUUGCU